GACGAACGCUGGCGGCGUGCUUAACACAUGCAAGUCGAACGGAAAGGCCCUGCUUUUGUGGGGUGCUCGAGUGGCGAACGGGUGAGUAACACGUGAGUAACCUGCCCUUGACUUUGGGAUAACUUCAGGAAACUGGGGCUAAUACCGGAUAGGAGCUCCUGCUGCAUGGUGUGGGUUGGAAAGUUUCGGCGGUUGGGGAUGGACUCGCGGCUUAUCAGCUUGUUGGUGGGGUAGUGGCUUACCAAGGCUUUGACGGGUAGCCGGCCUGAGAGGGUGACCGGCCACAUUGGGACUGAGAUACGGCCCAGACUCCUACGGGAGGCAGCAGUGGGGAAUAUUGCAAAAUGGGCGGAAGCCUGAUGCAGAAACGCCGCGUGCGGGAUGACGGCCUUCGGGUUGUAAACCGCUUUCGCCUGUGACGAAGCGUGAGUGACGGUAAUGGGUAAAGAAGCACCGGCUAACUACGUG
rnacentral:rRNA from 1 species